rnacentral:tRNA from 1 species
AUUUGAAUAGCCUAAAUUUGAGGGCGUUGCAUUGAAGAUGCCAAGGUAGUUAUAAAACUUUCAAAUA